CGGAGGGUGCAAGCGUUAUCCGGAUUCACUGGGUUUAAAGGGUGCGUAGGUGGGUUGGUGAGUCAGUGGUGAAAUCUCCGAGCUUAACUUGGAAACUGCCAUUGAUACUAUCAGUCUUGAAUAUUGUGGAGGUCAGCGGAAUAUGUCAUGUAGCGGUGAAAUGCUUAGAUAUGACAUAGAACACCAAUUGCGAAGGCAGCUGGCUACUCAUAUAUUGACACUGAGGCACGAAAGCGUGGGGAUCAAACAGGAUUAGAUACCCUGGUAGUCCACGCCCUAAACUAUGGAUACUCGACAUACGCGAUACACAGUGUGUGUCUGAGCGAAAGCAUUAAGUAUCCCACCUGGGAAGUACGAUCGCAAGAUUG
rnacentral:rRNA from 1 species